rnacentral:rRNA from 1 species
AAUGAACGUUGGCUGCGUGGACUAGGCAUACAAGUCGUACGGUAAGCUUCGGCUUAUAGUGGCGAAAGGGAGAGUAACGCGUGGUUACAUGCCCUCGGGACCGGGAUAGCGGCGGGAAACUGCCGGUAAUACCGGAUAAUAUCUUUGGAUCAAAGGUGUGAUUCCGCCCGAGGAUUGGAUCGCGUUCUAUUAGCUUGUUGGCGGGGUAAUGGCCCACCAAGGCGACGAUGGAUACCGGGUGUGAGAGCAUGGCCCGGCUCACUGGGACUGAGACACUGCCCAGACACUUACGGGUGGCUGCAGUCGAGAAUCUUCGGCAAUGGGCGCAACCCUGACCGAGCGACGCCGCGUGCGGGACGAAGGCCUUCGGGUUGUAAACCGCUGUCAGUUGGGAGGAAGUGCCGGGGGGUUCUCCCCUCGGUUUGACCGAUCUUCAGAGGAAGGACGGGCUAAGUUCGUGCCAGCAGCCGCCGUAAAAC